UUGACCUCGGAUCAGGUAGGAAUACCCGCUGAACUUAAGCAUAUCAAUAAGCGGAGGAAGUCCGU
rnacentral:rRNA from 1 species